rnacentral:rRNA from 1 species
GAUGAACGCUAGCGAUAGGCUUAACACAUGCAAGUCGAGGGGCAGCAUGGUCUUAGCUUGCUAAGACUGAUGGCGACCGGCGCACGGGUGCGUAACGCGUAUGCAACUUGCCUCACAGAGGGGGAUAACCCGUCGAAAGACGGACUAAUACCGCGUACACUUGGGAUAGGGCAUCCUGACCCAAGGAAAUGAAAUUCGCUGUGAGAUAGGCAUGCGUCCCAUUAGCUAGUUGGUGAGGUAACGGCUCACCAAGGCGACGAUGGGUAGGGGAACUGAGAGGUUGACCCCCCCCACUGGAACUGGGACACGGACCAGACUCCGAGGGGGGGCAGCAGUGAGGAAUAUUGGGCAAGGGGCGGGAGCCUAAACCAGCCAAGCCGCGUGAAGGAUGACUGUCUUUUGGAGUUUAAACUUUUUUUAAACGGGAAUAACAAGGGUCACGUGUGGCUCCCUGCAUGUACCGUAAGAAUAAGCAUCGGCUAACUCCGU